UGGGGGAGUAACGUAGCGAAAGUUACGCUAAUACCGCAUACGAUCUACGGAUGAAAGCGGGGGACGUCGCAAGAGCCUCGCGCGAUUGGAGCGGCCGAUAUCAGAUUAGGUAGUUGGUGGGGUAAAGGCUCACCAAGCCAACGAUCUGUAGCUGGUCUGAGAGGACGACCAGCACACUGGAACUGAGACACGGUCCAGACUCCUACGGGAGGCAGCAGUGGGGAAGUUUUGGACAAUGGACGCAAGUCUGAUCCAGCCAUUCCGCGUGCAGGAUGAAGGCCCUCGGGUUGUAAACUGCUUUUGUACGGAACGAAAAGGUUUCUAUUAAUACUAGGAGCUCAUGACGGUACCGUAAGAAUAAGCACCGGCUAACUACGUG
rnacentral:rRNA from 1 species